AAAGUUUUCUAAAACUUUCUUAAAGUCAACAAAUCAAAAUAUUAAAUUUUUAUUUUAUCUUUCUCUUUCUGGUUUAUCAAAAAAAAAAUUAAAACCAUCCAUCCAACAAAAAUAAAAAAAAAUCAGACACAUUCACUUUUACUAUGUUUUGCACACACUUUUCCCAUGAUUUACACAUACAACCAUGAUUUACAUGAUUACAAAAUAACUAUAUUCAAAAUAAAUCAAAUACAAUUCAAAAAUUACAAAAUAACAAAAUAGCCCCUAAAAUUCCAGGAACUGCUGGGAAGUCUUCUGAACUCUGCUGGAAUAGUGGCGGCGCGUCUUCUCCAUGAGCGGCCGACACUGGCAGCGAGUGGGUUCACGCGCCAUCGCGAGGGAGUCCAGGCAACAGGUGAUCUGUAACGGUUUGUUCCGCUCUUCCCUUCCCUGCAUGCGGUGAAGAUCACCGUCACCUGCAACAAGAGAAAAUGCAACAGGCAGUCGAGUGUCAGAUCUGGCGGCGACGACGCUGGAUUCGGGUUGUUGCUUUGGCCGCUGCUAUUGCAGGCUGAAUGGAGGGGAUGUCUGGUUCGGUUUAGCAGAGAUGGGGAAAGCUGGAGACGGCGUCUGUGGGGCUGGUCUCCUGUGAGGACAGCGCUGAUAUGGCUGACAGUGAAGGGGGUCGGUGGAGACGGGGAACGGCUCUGCCCGUUUUUGGUCUUGGCGAGCUGGCGGCUGGUUCAGGAGAAAAGGAAAAUGAGGGCUGGUGUGCUUUUCGGUCGGUUGAGAGGAAAACAAAAGGAAGUGAGGGGCUUUCAGGUGGCGGCUGAGAGAAGAAAAUCAAAGUGGUGAGCUGACUGUCUUGUGGCUGAGAGGGGAGGUUACACCGGGUGCAGGGGAAGAAGGCAAAAAUUCAAAAGGAGGGAUUAAAAUUAUAGGUAAAAUGUUUAUAUUUAUAUUUUUUUAUAUAGAUAUUAUAUUUAUAGGUAAAAUGUUGUUUGCUGUUAAAAUUAAUCCCUCAACUUUCUUUUUGCUUUGCAAA